GUCCACGGACACGCCACCCUGAACGCGCCCCGUCUCGUCUGAUCUCGGAAGCUAAGCAGGGUCAGGCCUGGUCAGUACUUGCAUAGGAGACCGCCUGGGAAAACCAGGUGGUGUCGGCA
rnacentral:rRNA from 1 species